UGUAUGUAGCUAUGUCAAAUUCUCUUUCAUAUACAUACAUGUCUAAACCCCAUGUGUGUAUAUGAUACCUACAUUCUUGUUUAAUUGCACAGGCUGUGGUCAGUUCACAUCUGCUUAACUUUUCAGCCAUCACCUGUCUGUGUUUCUUUUACAUGAGUAAGCUGCUAUGUAAAUAUUCUGCAUAUGCUAUGCUUCUGUCCUCUUCAUUCCAUGUUAAUAUAAUAUACCAGAUCCUCUUUUCUAACUUACACUAGAUGUUCUUCUUAGAAGGAAAGAUAUCUUGGACAUGGGUUAGCCUUACAUUUAUUGACUGACAAAGUGACUGUCUGAAAAAAUUCCUUUACAGGUACUAAGAUUAUAUUCUGCAGUGAACACUACAGAGAGAGAUACAUUAUUUGUUUCAUAAUACUGACUUGGCUUGGUACAUAACCUCCCCUCACUUCAUCUAAUCUAUAUUAUGUGUUCGUAUUUCAUGUAUAGGUAUAUGUCUUGUGUAAAUAUGUUAGCCAUAAUCUGAUUUCUAAUGUAGGUACAUAGAGUAAGUUAAAAUUAUGCUUAAUUUAUUUUAUUAGUAGAUUAAUUUGGGGAAAUGUAUGCCCUAUAUCAUGUGGCAACUAUUUUCCUUAAUGCUAUUAGAGAUCUUAACAAUAAAGAUUACAGUGGUCACCUUCUUAUGAGUUCUUUUCUUUCCUUUUUUAUUUUCAGUGCUUAGGAAGGAACCCAGGUCCCCAUCAUGCUAGACAAAUGCUCUGCCACUGAGCUACACUUCCCCAGAGUUGUUUUUUAAUAGGUCAGUGUUUCACUAAUUUUUCUUUACAUGCCAGAAUACAAUAUCACAGCAGAAUAAAAGACAAUGAAACAUAAUUUUAAAAGCUGUGGAGUUGGGCUUUUUAUUCUCUCUCUUCUUCCCCUGUCCCCCAAAGGGAAUAAACCAGAUAUUUUUUAUCUUUGAAGUAUUUUUUUAAUAAGUGGAAGCACUCUGUGUGAUUUUUCUCAGCAGUUAAGAACUAUUUGGAGUUACGUGAGAACAUUGUGGCACGUAGUUUUUAUGGGUGUUAGGGAACUGAUAGCACUGUACCUUUCAUUAUAGGAGAAAGAAGAUCCCCUAGAGUUCUCUGCCAGUAAAGACUCCAAAGAAUUACCUCAUCAUGGCCCACAGUGGUGGGGCUACGGGGCCAGGUUCAGGCAAAAAUUUAAGACAGGGGAAGUGAAUAAAUGUCAAAAUAAAGGAAGUAAAACUACAUACCCAAGCUAAAGAAAACAUGCACGUAAGUGAUAACAUUCCUUUUCCCUUUCCCUUGUAUAUCAAGAGCCUUUAUCUCCAGGAGUUUUUAGUGCGUUCAUUGGGCACAGUGCCAGAUUUCUUUACCUUUCCUUAUGCUUUGUCUUAUUUCCACCCUGGAAAAAAAGUAACAACUUGACAGAAAUAAAGAGUGAAAGCAUGUCCCUGUUGAACAACAAACUUCACAAAAAUUGACAGUAAUGAUACUAAAGGAAAACUUCAUUUUGCUUUAGGAAAAGAAAUACCAGUAACUUUAAAUGUUCUUUAGUCUCUUCUCAAGAAAAGGCUAGGUAAAUGCUUUGUUUUGAUAGAAGAGAACAUAGAUUAGAUUAUAGUUCUCACUAAAUACAAGUUUCUUCCUGGCUAGCUGAAGACGAUUUCAAAAAUUAACCUUUUGCAGUACUUACUAAAUGUUGCCCUCAUCAGAAAAGAAAGAAAUCUAUCUUGAUAGUUAACACACAUAGCUUAAGGACACGUUUUUAGCUUGGUAUGGUGGCACAUGCCUGUAAUCACAACAUACAGGGAGGUUACCUUGUCACCAUUUCAGGCUGGGGCUGUUCACUUGAGAUUCAGGCAGCCCAAAGAAGGAAUGCAGAGCUGUGGGCACUGUUAAACAUCUUUUAUUCUCAGCUACCACCAGCCACUGCCCAGUUGCCCACUUGCCCUAUCUGUCCAGCCGCUCUGCCCCUGUACACACACAACAGUUCUUCACCCCUAGCCAGCCCGUUCUUGCUGCAGUCCACAGCUACUUAGUCUCCUGCCAGCCCUCAUGGCAGUCUAGAUUUAUACCAAAAUAUACAGUACUGGCUAUGUGCCAGUAACAACCUUGUAAGUUACUUACAGUGAGACGGACAAGGUGUGCCUGUGCCGAAAUCUUGCUGACUUGGACUUAAUGGCUACUGGAAAUCACCCCCUCCACGCACAUACAGCGUGAACCAACGUGUAGCCAUCUUAGACUUCAUUUUUCCCUACACUGAGGAAGGAGGCUCAUGAGUUUGAGUACCCCCAAGGGCAAUUUUGGGAGACCUUGUCUCAAAAUAAGAAAAGGGCUAAGAGUCCAGCAGUGGUGGUGCAUACCUGUAAUCCCAGCACUCAGGAGGCUGAGGCAGGAAUAUUGCUUCAAGUGCAAGGCCAGCCUGGGCUACAUAGCAAGACCCUGUCUCAAAAAAAAGAAAGAAAGAAAGAAAGAAGAAAGAAAAGGGCUAGUAGUGUAACUCAGAGGUAGUUAUCCCUGGAUUUGAUGCCAGGUACUGCUGAGAGAGAGAGAGAAAAUGAAUGAAUAAGAAUGAUGCUUUUACGAAAGAACACUCUUUUGACUAUGGAACAGUGGUUUGAAAUCAUUGUAAAAAAUGAAUUAUAUAUAAAGAUGAAACAGUACAAAACAUUAUAUUACUAUUCUUUUAACAGAGGAAGUUUCUUUUUGUUAUUUUGAAAUUAUACGUCCUACUUAAAUGCUCUGUGAGAAGGCAGUAAUGAAACAACACGUUUUGUUGAAUAUUGAACAUUUUCUUAAGAGCUCUACAAAAGAAGGAAAUAUGGUUUGAAAAUUUUGCAUGUGGUAAGAGUAGCUGGGGCUGGGGAUUUAGCUCAGUGGUUUCGCCGCCUGCUGCGCAAGUGCAAGGACCCAAGUUCAAUCCCCGGUACCAAAAAAAAAAAAAAAAAAAAAAAUGAGUAGUACAUAUUUAAGUGUUGGGUGAGAGAGGUAGGGACAAAAAAUGCAUAGCAAUCUACUGCAGGAAUAUCACAUGCAGUUUGAGAAGUACACAAAGAAGGGAAUCAGUCUUGAGGUGUACCACAAAUAAGGGCAGGAUACGAGCACGAUGUGAAGAAAAUAAAAGAAAUGGGGGUAUUUCUGCAACUCCAAAGGGGCAAACUAACGCACUGAAUGGGAUGGGUCCUUGUGUGCUUGACGAGGGCAUGCAGGUCAGAGUGGCUUGUCAGGAGCAAUGCUACAUAAUUUUAGGGUAAAAUCGUUUGGUUAGCCUAGUUCUCCUGCCUACAGCCCAGCUAUGGAAUUCUGAGACAUAACUCCAUUUUGGCCUCUGCUCACAACUGAGACCUCAACGAUCCAGUGAUGUUGUGACUCUCCAGGACAAGAAACAUCCUGGGAGCUGAAAACAUCCUGCGAAGAACAAACAUCUACUCAGUUCCUCCUUGUUCUUGGAUUGUUACAUCUUAUUUACACAGGCUGUACUGAACUCUCUGCAAGUCAUUUGUUACAUUUGUUUCUCCCAAUGUACUGAAUAAAAGGUGUGGUAAGCUGGGGUCUUUCGUUUUUGCUGCCCAGAGCAGCAGUGAUCAGACCCAAAGCUCAGCCUCUCAGUCUCAUUUUUCUACAUUUCCUGUAAUUUGCCGUGUGCUGCCGUGGCUCACAGGAGACUAGGACUUACUGCAGAGGUUCUAGUAACGUCCCCUUUCCCUGUUCCCUACAGUAGCUGAAAAGGAGUGGGCUCCAGGAAGGUUUACAAGAGGGCUUAGUUUGCAGAGUCCUUUGAGUGUCCAUCAAGGAGUAUUGGGGGGGGUCACCCUGUGGCAUAUGUGUGAUCACUAGACCAUUGACAGUCACAUGUAGUGCAAUAAAUUGCAUGGUGUGUCAUCAAGGCACUGCUGUGAUAGUAUAGUAUUCAUGAGCACAGCUUUUUAGGGUGACCAGCAAUAAAGUCAAACCAUCUCUACUGAUCAGGACAUAUUCAUUAAGUAAUUUCUCAUUUUAAACCCUAAGUACUCACUUUUAACCCAUUAGAAGAAAAAUAAAAGCAAUGAGGAAAGUUUCAGAAUGCUAAAAAGAAGAUGGAAAAGGUAGAAAAGUGAAAAAAAUAUAAACAAAACAAAAUGUAAGGGAAAGCAAUGUUCAACAAAAUACAUACACAUUCAGAUUAGACUCAAAUUCAGCCAUAGUACUUUUUGUUUCUAUCUAGCAGAAAACAAAUACUUUAUUUUUUUGCUUUCAUUUUAUAACCCUUAAAGUUCCUUAAUUCAACUAGGGCACACAUACACAAAGCCACCAGAACAAGGAUCACUUAAAGAGCUGGAUGUAGAAAAUACUAUUGCAGUAUGCUACAAAUAUGGAACCCUGUUAUAUGAGCUACAAAAAGCAGCAUUUGCCUUUAUAGAGUUGAGUGCAAUUUGUACAUUAAAAAAUUCUAUAAAUGAAGGGAACACCAACACAACAGAAGAUAUGCCCAUCACAGGCACCCGCCCUGGGAAGCGCGGGCAGUGGUCACCGACCGGGCAGGAGGACUGUUUCCCGGGGCCACGCGGAGGCCUCUUCUGGGCGAGGGACUGAGUCCCACCUGGUUCCAGGUCAGAUUUCCUUCCCACCUCACCUGGGCAACGUGUCACUGAGGACAGGGAAGACACUGCCCACAGGCUGCGGAGUGGGAGCAGCAGGGCAUCGGGAACGCAGGAGUGCAUGGCGUGGGACCUUUCGGGGCCCAGAGACAAGGAGAGUGUCUUGAGGCCGGAAGAGGAGAGGAGCGCAGGAUAGAAAAUAGAGGCAAGAGGGGCCCAUGUGGAGGUGACGACCUGGAGGUGCGGGCAGCACUGACAGGAGCUCCCUAGCCCAGGGACACAGGAGAGGAGGACAGCAGAAGGAGGAAGGGAUCCCCGAUAGUAAACCCAAAGCCAGCCUCACUCCCAGCCCAUCCCUGCGAGCCAAAGCUCGACUCUUUGGCUCCCAGACAGUGGACCCUGCACGCCCAGUGUGCGCAGGCUGGCACUCUUGGCUGCACACCCCGAGGGAGGAACCGCGGGGCGCCUGCCCUAGCCGGGGAGACUCCCACGCCCUGACUUCUGUGGCUUGGCUGGGGGGGGGGGGGGGGGGAGGUGCUGCGGGUGGAGGUGCAGGGCAGUGGUAGCUGCCGCUGCAGGCCCAGGAGCGAGCAGGGUCGGGUAGAGGGCAGCGUGCAGGACAGCAUGGAAGGUGAAGGGCCUGGGGUGGAUGGCAGAGGCGGGGAUGAUGUGGAUGGGGUGACUGGCGAGGAAGGUGGCCGGGUGGCCGGGGAUGAUGGAGUGAGGUGCGACAGGGAGAUGGGCGUCAGGUGGGGCUGGGGGAUGUGGUGCACGUGGGCCGGGGGCUGUGGGUGGGCGUGGGGGUGGAUGCCAAUGGUGGCAGUGGCGGCCAGGUGGUGCUGCAGGAUGGCGUGCUGCACCCAGGUAAUGCAGGUGGCCGAAGUCGCGGCGAGAUGGCGCAGGUGGAUGGGCUGCAGGGCAGAGGUGGCGGGGGGCAAGGGCAGCCGAGGCAGAGAAGGCCUUCACUUGCUUGGCCAGCAGCUGUUGUUGGAUGUGCUGCGUUGCGGCCUGCUGGAGCUUGCUGGACUUCUUCAUCUCCUCGAGCUUGAAGGUGAUGGGCUGGCAAUCCAGGGGAGCCAGCAAGGCGUCCUCUGCCCCCUUGGGGACUCCAUGCGGGGCUUGGACAAUCUCCCAGGGGGAGGGCCGAGGCUCGAGGCCUGAGGCCCGCAGGCUCCCUUACCCGUGCAGCUGGAACACUGGACUGUAUGCUUUCCUCCUGGUCAGCUCUGUGAGUAGUGUGAGGCCCUUGACUGCACAGGCACCUGCCCCAGAAAGUGGGUGUCGCCAUUGGCUGAGAGGGCGGGGCCUGCAGGCAGUGGGCCUGUCAGUUGGAGUCCGGCCUUGAUCAGCGCAAGGUCCAGUUACCAGAACUGGAUGGGGAGGGUUAGUCACUGUG
rnacentral:lncRNA from 1 species